UCCUCGGUAGCUCAAUGGUAGAGUCCCCGGCUGUUAACCGGGUUGUUACAGGUUCGAGUCCUGUCCGGGGAGCCA
rnacentral:tRNA from 1 species